UGGAAUAAUUUAUCAUUCGUAUUCAGUACUUCGAUCUGAAAGCAACACACAACAAUUUUACAAAAUUCUUUAAAUUUGAAUAUCAAAUAAAAAGUGAUUUAAUUUUUCGAUAAUAUUUUUAACUCGUUGAAAAAGUCACCGACUAAUUUUCUGAUUUGACAAAUAAAGUGAUUGACAGAAAAUCUAUUAAAUAUGGAUGGUGAAGGUGAGGCAGGAACACCAGCACCAGCUGCAACAACAGCUGGAGGAGAUCUUGUGCAAA